CCAAACUUCUGGGUUAUCAAACACGGGAGGCUAAUUAACUCAAAACGGGAGCUACAAACUGAGAUCACUCAAAUGCUAUCAAAGAAUGCUAACAGAACUGAUAAAUGAGCCACAGUAGCGUGCUACAUGUCAUAUCAGGCUAUGAAUGACAUCAAAUGAUCCGAAGAAGCUGAAGGAUUUGUGCUCUAACCUCUGCUGGAGUAAAACCAGAUUUCUACCACAAAGACGACACAUGUUGACGACUUAAUAGCCAAUCAGGUGAUCUGGUUGGAAGGACGAACACCAAUCUGAACAGUUUGUG